UGGGGAAUUUUGGACAAUGGGCGAAAGCCUGACCCAGCAAUGCCGCGUGUGUGAAGAAGGCCUUCGGGUUGUAAAGCACUUUUGUCCGGAAAGAAAUCCUUGGCUCUAAUACAGUCGGGGGAUGACGGUACCGGAAGAAUAAGCACCGGCUAACUACGUGCCAGCAGCCGCGGUAAUACGUAGGGUGCAAGCGUUAAUCGGAAUUACUGGGCGUAAAGCGUGCGCAGGCGGUUUGCUAAGACCGAUGUGAAAUCCCCGGGCUCAACCUGGGAACUGCAUUGGUGACUGGCAGGCUAGAGUAUGGCAGAGGGGGGUAGAAUUCCACGUGUAGCAGUGAAAUGCGUAGAGAUGUGGAGGAAUACCGAUGGCGAAGGCAGCCCCCUGGGCCAAUACUGACGCUCAUGCACGAAAGCGUGGGGAGCAAACAGGAUUAGAUACCCUGGUAGUCCACGCCCUAAACGAUGUCAACUAGUUGUUGGGGAUUCAUUUCCUUAGUAACGUAGCUAACGCGUGAAGUUGACCGCCUGGGGAGUACGGUCGCAAGAUUAAAACUUAAAUGAAUUGACGGGGUCAUAGCUG
rnacentral:rRNA from 1 species